rnacentral:tRNA from 1 species
GCCUGGAUAGAUCAGUUGGUUAGAGCAUGGUGCUGAUGAUAAUGCCAGGGUUGCAGGUUUAAUCCCCGUACGGGACA